rnacentral:lncRNA from 1 species
AAAAUGUUGAUGUUAAACCCAUGAAAUUUGAUUGAAUUGUGUGAAUAAAGAAAAUGUUAUUGUUAAACCCAUAAAAUUUGAUUGAAUUGUGGGAAUGAUGAAAAUGUUGUUGUUAAACCCAUGGAAUUUUAUUGAAUUGUGGGAAUAAUGAAAAUGUUGUUAUUAAACACAUGAAAUUUUAUUUAAUUGUGUGAAUGAUGAAAACGUUGUUGUUAAACCUAUGAAAUUGGAUUGAAUUGUG